GCCCCCGUGGGGUAGUGGAUAUCCUUAGGGGCUGCGGACUCCUAGACCCGGGUUCAACUCCCGGCGGGGGCA
rnacentral:tRNA from 1 species